rnacentral:rRNA from 1 species
CCUACGGGGUGCAGCAGUGGGGGAUAUUGGACAAUGGGGGAAACCCUGAUCCAGCGAUGCCGCGUGAGGGAAGAAGGUUUUCGGAUUGUAAACCUCUGUGGAGGGGGACGAUAAUGACGGUACCCCUUUAGGAAGCCACGGCUAACUACGUGCCAGCAGCCGCGGUAAUACGUAGGUGGCGAGCGUUGUCCGGAAUUACUGGGUGUAAAGGGAGUGUAGGCGGGAAAGCAAGUCAGAAGUGAAAACUAUGGGCUUAACCCAUAGCCUGCUUUUGAAACUGUUUUUCUUGAGUGAAGUAGAGGCAAGCGGAAUUCCUAGUGUAGCGGUGAAAUGCGUAGAUAUCAGGAGGAAUACCGUUAGCGAAGGCGGCAAUCUGGCUGGAAACUGACGCUGAGGUGCGAAAGCGUGGGUAGCAAACAGGAUUAGAUACCCUUGUAGUC